AAACUCAUGCAAAGGACAAUCUGGGAUGUCAACUCACUAAGGGAGCUACUGGACUAACAAGGGGACAGGCAAGGAGACAGUUCCAAAGUCUAGCAAAAGCACAACACAGAGAAGCCACCUAAGGAUGCCAUUGGAUACUCAAGACCACCAAACCCUCCACCUACAGUAGUGUUUAUCCCAGUGUCGGUGAGGCUGAAGUUGGAACGGAAGAGAGACCUAUGCUCCAAAGAUGACAGAGAGGCUCAGCAAGCUCCUCUACAGACAAAUCCAAAGCCACAAUGCGCUGUUCACAUGUUGAUCAGGAGCUGCCUUGAUCUGUAGCAUGAAGACUGUUCUGGAAGAAAGAAGGACGGAGAAAGGGAGACCAACAGGAUGGCUGGACUAGGUAAGAGAUGAUGGUGCUUUGGUCAGG